UUUUUUUUUUUUUUUAAGAUUUUAUUUAUUUAUUCAUGAGAGAUACAGAGAGAGAGAGAGAAGCAGAGACCCAGACAGAGGGAGAAGCAGGCUCCAUGUAGGGAGCCUGAUGUGGUACUCGAUCCCGGGACUCCAGGAUCACGCCCUGGGCGGAAGGCAGGCACUAAACCACUGGGCCACCCAGGGAUCCCAACACUGAUCUUUCUUAAUGCUAGAGUUAUCUUUCUAAAAUACUAAUUAUAUAUUCUACUGCUUAAAGAAUUCCUUUUAAUGAUUAUUUUUAUUCAUCUUAGAUAAGCAUAUUACCUAGAACUUAUAUAAUAAGGCUUGUUGCUCAUUUCUAAAAUUAAAUCAUUACAUCAUAGACUUUUGCUUCAACCACAAAGAACUAUUUGCCUCUCAACACACUGUUCUCUUUCAUGCUUCUGUCUUUUUGCUUAUGUUGAUUCCUCUAAAAGGAUUUCCUUUUCCUCCAAUUCUACUUGGAAAAUUACAGCUAAACUAAUAAGACAAGUUAAAAUAUCACCUCUGUGAAGUUUUUCCUUUCACAGAUACAUAGCAUUAAAUGUUAUAUACAUAUAGGAAAUACUUUCUUCGUCAUUUACUUGCGCAAGUUUAUUUUUACUAUUUUGAGCUAUAACCAAAUUUUGUUAUUUUAGAGAAUAAAGCACAUUAGCUACAUAAUGAAACCAAUAUUGGUCAGUUGUUUACCAGGAAAACAGAAUCUAUGAUCCUAUAAUGAUGAAAUCACCCCUAACUAUAUUUAUCACAUUUAUACUUGCUUAGAGAGAAGUUCCUCUGAUGCAUAUCUGACCCCUCAUAAAGCCUUCAGGCACAGUUUUUCAAUUUGGCAUUUCUACUCCCAGAAGAACUUAGUUUCAUCUGCACACUUGAAGAUUUCAUUGGGUUCUGUCUCUUCCAACUCAUUUAUAAGCCCAUUUGAUAGUACUAGUCCCUAGUGAACUCAGUAAAAUUCUGUAAAAAGCAAGAAGCACUUUACCUAAAAAUAUAACUGAGGUCACUAGUGUGCACAUUUGCAUUGAACAGCUACUGCAUACUUUGGGUCAGCACUGUCCAAUAGAAGUUUCAGUAAUGACGGAAAUUUUCUAUAUUUACACUUUAGCAUGGUAGCCAUAUGUGGCUACUGAGCACUUGAAAUGUGGCUAGUGUGAUUGAUGAGCUGAAUUCUGCAUGUUGUUUAUUUAAAUUUUAAUUUUAAUUCAGUCACAUACAGCUACAAGGUGAGGAUUUGGGCUCUCACCAAACUGUUCUCCUAAAUUUUCACAAAAAUGUAAUUUCAGAUUUUUAUCAAUUAGUCUUUGUACUUUUAGAGUUUCAGAGGAAAAAAGUAAGUUUUACACUACAUCAUCUCAUCUUUUUUUAUUUAUUUAUUUUUAUUUAUUUUUUAUUUUUAAGUAGGUUCUGUGGCCAAUGUGACAGCCAGGGACCACUAAAUCAUCUCAUCUUUUACCUUACAUUAUGAACUCCAGCUGAAGGUAUGAAAAAUAAGAAAAGCAAGUGUGAACAAAAGUAUACAUAAGUCAGAACCAUCUCAGCAAGAUUUUUUUUGUCAGUUAUUUAGAAGAAGUUGAGAAAAGAAGAAAGACAAUGUUUGAUUAAACUAUACUCAUUGGGGUAUUAAAAACAUUUUCUGCAAAUGAUAGGAUUUCUUGGAGUAAUUUUAGAAACGCUAAAGAGAAAAUAUUAAUGUUUAACAAAGUUUUGCAGGAGAAUGUUUUUGACACUAAGAGGGAAAGAAUAAAAUUCCAAUGAGUCCAAUGAGAUGAAUAGCAAGCACUUGACAGUGGUCAAUAAGAAAAAUAGCAUGGAGGGUCACAGAACCAGAGAGGCGACUAGUGACCAUAAAAGCCCAUGAUUUAACAUGAUUUAACACAACUUUUCUAAGUCUGAUAAGGAAAGAAAAAUGACUAAAGUGAAACUUGAGAUAGAUGGUUCCUGUAGUUUUGCUAAACAAGACAAAAAUGAAGAGAAAAUUUACAAAGGGAAUGUUUCAAUCACACAGAGUCAAAAGGAAGGGCAAAAAGAUGAAACAGGAAAAGGGAAAUUGAAAAAGCAGAGUACUUUAUAAAUCAAUUAUUUCCCACUGCAUAUUUAUUCAUUUUAAGAACACAAACCUGCUAACUGCACCAUGAUGUAUUCUAAUUUAUCUCUCUUCUACAGUACAAUUUCUUCAGCUAUGAUUUAAAAUUUAAUUAUGUUCUUAAUUAGCCAUUUCUGCUCAAGGAUUGAUAUGCCUUUAGAGUGACAGAAUACAAUUAUUCACUCACCCAAUUCAUGUUGAGCAUAUUCCAUGUACUC
rnacentral:lncRNA from 1 species